AUCAGAGAAAUAAAUGAUAUUUUAAAGUAUAUUAAAAUAGCAAAACAUUCUUUUAAAUUGAGUACAAUUUAAUUAUUAUUUUUAAAUACAGUUUUUGUCUGUAUUUUUGAUCAAAUAAAUGCAGGCUUGAUGAGCAUAAGAUAUUUUCAUAAUGCUGUUUAAUUAUCAAAAAUGGUAAUAUAAUAAAGUCCUUUCACGGCACCAUUUUGCCCUCCUACAUUUCACAUAACAGGCCUGUAGGUGGCACUUGGGCUUCAUUAUUUAUGAUAGUUUCAUGAAAUAGUAAACGGUGUAAAUAUAAGGGAACUGAAUACUGGUUACCAUUAUUGCGACUUUUGGCACUGCAUGGUUUUGUGCAGUGCUUUUGUAGUAAUUUAGCAUACAUUUUCUCAGCAAUGUAAUUUGAUUUAUAAAAAUGAGUCAAACCGCAGAUCCAGAUCACUCCACAAAGGUAAGCUUGUCUGUCCAUGUAAUUUUCAACUGAUUCAUGAAUAAGAACAGAAAAUGACCACUCUACUUCACUCUGUUGUCCAAUGAAAUUUGAACUUGUGCCAGAUCGUUAUUGGUUGGUGUAUUAUACAUGACAAACGGGGAAUGAUGAACUAUGUAAUAUUCUAACAUAAUUAAAUCGACACACUAGCUUUGAUUAUUGAUGAAAAAAGUUAAAAAUAUUGUUUAGUUUAUUUUUUCCUUCCCGCAACCCUAGUCACUGAAAAGAAGGUUUCCGAACAGACUGUGGAAUAUCACAUAUGUCAGUCAAGCAAAACGCACACAACCCAAUGCCUCAGAUUGCAGAUAUGUGUAUUAAAAAAAAAAGAAAAAAAAGGGAAUUUUCCAACAUUUGAGUGAUUAAUUACUGUUCCCUUUCAAGGGAACUUUGAACUGCGUCCUCUAGGGGUCGCUAUGGGGAACACCUCGUCGUGACCUGUGUCUGAAACAUACGUUGAAAAAACACCAACGAGUUGGCCUCUGACGUCACUACAGGCGCGACUAUAAACAGCCACCGGGAGAACACGUCAUUCUCUUCUUCGUCUUCACUGACUGUUCUGUUUGAAGUGUGCAUCUGAAAGAACUGGUAAGAGCAAUCUUUCUCUGUCUAUCAUGGCGACUACUAGCAAGCAUUUAGACAAUGUGUGCAUCCGUGUCAGCGUUAUUUGACACCCGAUGACACACGAUCUUUGCGUCAUUUGUUUUUUGGGUGAAGAGCACGCACGCGAUGUCUUUGAGGAGGCAAUCUGCGUGCAUUGUGAGUGUUUUUUCAAUGAUAAAGCUCCGCUCUCGUUCGUCUCUCUUUCCGAGGGAUGAGAGAGAGCCUCAGGAGGAUGAUGUUAUAUCUUUAACACUUUCUGAUACUGAGGUUAGUGCUCUGCUGGGUUUUUACCCAGGAAAAGCAGGAGAUAUUUGAGGAUGGUGAAGAAGCUGAGGCUGAGCCUUCUCAAUUCUCCUGCCCUGCGUAUGUAGAGCUGUUGGAGGUUAUGGAUCGUGCCACGGCAAGGUUGGACUUGCCAUGAAAGUGCGCUAACAAGGUGAUGCCGUGAAGCCAUCUCGAUGAGCAUUAUCUGUCUGACCAUAGCCCUCCAGCUCAGGUGAGCCUUCCAUUUCUGCCUGAUCUCCAUACAGAGAUCGAAAAGAAAUGAAAGAGGCUGUUUUCUUCUCACAUCCAUCGGUUUUGGCAUAAGAGUUGUGCCGACAUCAAGGCGAUGCAUGAAAACAGCUAUGAGAGGAUGCCCCCUGUAGAAAGAGCUUUCUUUCUGCGGGGGAGACAUCCCCUCUUAAUCUCCUUCCUUUCCAUCUAAGCCCCUUCAAAGAAAUACAUCUCGCUUAAAAGGCAUACGCAGCAGCAGGUCAGGCUGUGGCUUUAUUACACACAAUGGUGGUGCUUCAAGCAUAUCAGACUGAUCUGCUAAGAGACCUGGAUAGAGGCGAGGGCCUUUUUCCUGAUCAGGUAGCCGAGCUGCGCCGCACCACAGAUCUUUCUCCAGGCAACCAAGCAGGCCACCUCUGCCAUGGGCAGGACUAUGGCUGCCAUGGUGGUAGCGGAGAGACAUCUGUGGAUGAACCUGGCAGACAUCGGGAAGAAAGAAAAUGCGUUCUUCUCGAUGCUCAGGUUUCGCCUUCUGAACUUUUUGGUAUUCCGUUGAGAUGGUGAUCGAGAAGUUCAGGGAGAUGAAGGUGUGCUCCGCUGCUUUCAGAUCCUUCAUUCCACGAAGGUCCAGGUCUGAGCCCGAACAACAUGGGGUCCUGGCCUGUCUUGAUCUGAGGAUCAAAGACGGGCACAGAAGGCUAGUGUCGCGGCUCGCGCUCCUCCCCCACCUGCGGGCAGGGGUAAGAGGAAUCGUGGGUCACAAGGAGGUAAGCAGAAUCUAAGGGAUGUGAUCCAGAUGAGGCAGCAUUCUCGUCUGAAUCAGAGCGAUACCGAGGUAUCUACUCGUUCCCUUUAGGGAUUUUUAAAUUCUGCUUUUAUCCUUCCCUUCCUAAUUCCCCUGUAACCACCAGCUCUCCACCUGAUCGAGGUUAGGUGGAAACCUCUCGCAUAACAGUCUCCUAUGCUGGACCUAUAAUGUUUUUGGCUGGUUCUAUGUUCAUAGCAACCACCUUACUGAUGGUCACCCUGAGGGGUCUCCUGGCCUUUUAGUUGUGCUGUCGCAUCCAGUGGGAAGUGGAGGUGGCAGUUACAGAAGUCUUCUUGUUUAUGCUUCCCCAGGUGAUGCUCCCCUUGCCAGAGGUUUGUAAAAUUUGAGCUUGCCUGUCCCGUGCGGUUCAGCACCUCUGCGAUGCUUAGGAACCUUUAGGUACACACGCUAAGCUCUGUGUACUUUCUGAAAACCACAUGGUGGUCAGUGUGCACGUGAACACUUUGCACACUUUCUAAAAUCCACGUAAGUGGUAAGUGUGCACACAAGACUCUGCGCACUUUCUGAAAUCCUGUACGGUAAGGGUUACGCGCUCCGCCUUGUUCCCUUUCUUGAGAUGAUUAGACCUUGGUCCCUUGGGCUCCAUUCAGCCAGUGUGUAUUUGUUUAUAUACUUCAAGCAUCGCUUCCCUCAACAUGAGGGGCUAUUUGAGCGAUUCUUGUGGUAGUUUAGCAGCGCUCCCCUUUUCCAAGAAGGGUCGCCUAUGAGUGCGCUACUCUGAAUUCGGAGUUCUCCUCUCAUAUGAGACUGAGUUCUCUGUUUUUUUCCCCAAAGUGCUCCAGCAUUAUUUCCACAGAUCGAGUUGAUGACUCUCAAACAUACUGUUUUGAGAUGCACCAUUCCAUCUAUGAGCUGUUCUAUCAGAGUGCCACGAGAGCCCCUCCUUAGAACAGUAUUUGAAAAUCCAUGCUAUGGUAAGUGUGCACAUGAAGUCUUUGCACACUUUCUGAAAUCCACACUUUGGUAAGUUCACACACUAGUAUUCUACGUUCUUUCUAAAAUCCUAUAUGGUGAGGGCUUUGUGUGGUUGCUUCGUGCCCUUUCUUGAGUUGGUAAAAGCCCCGUUCAUCUUGGGCGCCACUUCACCUAUGUAUCCUCGGACACCUAUCUAAACAGGGUGUUGCUACUAGAGAUCCGUUGAGACAGCUCCUUCAGCAAGCUUAUGCGAAAGCAAGCGGUAGCCCCUGUGUGACAGGCAAGACUUUAAAGGAGUCUUUCCUGAUUCCAAGCCUUCAGCUCUACCCUGGGCCGAGGCCCUAACAAUUAAGUUGGGUAUGUAGCUUAGGCCUUUGGCCGUAAGAGGUACUGUCACAGACAGCCGUCUAAACGUCUCAGGGGCAACUCCCAUGGAAAUGGUAGAGUUGAUACUUAGUGUUCACCAUGAUUCUGGGCUGCACUCACCUCAGCAUGGCGGCGUGGGUAUACUGUUCCCCAUAGCGACCCCUAGAGGACGCAGUUCGAAGUUCCCUUGAAAAGGAAUGUCUCAGGUUACGGACUUCAGACUUUAGACAUGGGUCACGACGAGGUGUUCCCCAUAGCGACCCCUAGAGGAUGCAGUGUCUCGUUCCCUACUCAGGGAACCAUGGUUACAUUUGUAAUCUGAGACGUUUUGUACACCUUGUCAUGUUAAUUAUAAUUCAAAUGCGUUUUUUUAUUGACCACGAUAUCAUUGCUAUUUGUCUAAGAGGAGCACUUUUGAAUAAUUUUGAAAAAGGACAGGGACUUGAGCUGUUAGGCGCAUAUCCAAUCGUUUGUGUGCAAGAGUGGAAGGCACUAGUGCAAUCACUUGCAUUUUUUUCUAACAGUGGAAAUAGACUAAAUAUGCCGUCAUUUUUGCUCAUAAAGGUAAGAGUAAUACAUAAUUCGGAACUGUAAAGGGUCUGCUUUUAUUUGUGUGCGCUCACAAUAUCAACAAAACGUUGUGCUUUGAUAAAAUAAAUAGGAAAACAGCGGAUAUGCAUUCUGCCAUCUCGGUCUUGAACAGGAGUGCUUUACAAUGAUGAACUGAAACUCAGCAAAUUGCUUCAGAGACAUGAUAUACAAAUAUAUAUCUAUAGAAAGCUUUAAAUUACUACUUUAAAAUGAAAUAAUUCAAAUCAAAAAUAGAAAGUCUUUCAUUAUGUAAUCUGUAAAGAUGCAUUUCUCUCUAAAGGCAUGUCCAAUGACGUGAUGGCGAGUCAUUUUUUUGUCACCAUAAUUGAUGGAUGUCUAAAAUAUAAAAAUAAGGAAAAGCCUAAAACAGGCCCGAUUAUAAUUUGUUUUAUUUUUUAUAAUUCUAUACAAUUAAAAAAUAAAACACACAUUAUAAUGGCAUAGGCUAUAUGUACAACUUUGUCCAAUAUUUGUAUAGCUGCUUAUAUUUUCUGAUUUUUAUGUUGCUCUGUUCAGAAUACCUUAAAAUUUAAAGGAUUUGCUGCAAUUCAAUAUUGUCUGAUAUGUGAAUAAUUUAUUUGCAUAUUAGUAGGCCUAUUUUUUAAAUCCAUGCUGCAAAUGCUUUAAAAACAGCUUUAAAAAUUACUUUAUUGCAUUCCAGAUGCUUUUAAAGAACUUUUCACUAUACAUUUAACGGGUAGCUUAAAUAUAAAACAUUUUCAUGAAUUUGUUGUAUUCCCAUUUGUAAAAUAGCCUAAUUAACUGUUGUAGGCUAACCUGAUCUCAUGUUGAAGAUGCUUAUUAUAGCUCGAUUUUCUGUUUCUAUUUGGCACAGUAUUUAUAUGAAAAAAUUGACGUUUGCUGCAAAAGACUGAUAAAUUCAUAAUUAAUGGCAUGGCUGGUUCAGUCGACAGAAAUACAGGACACAUAUAGCUACUCAUGAUACACAGCGGUAAACAUGCCUUCAGCCAUACACUUGCACUUUGGAUGGGUUAAAUGCGGAGCACGAAUUCUGAGUAUGGGUCACCAUACUUGGCUGUAUGUCACGUCACACAGCAGCUUUCCUCCUUAAAUGUUUAACAAACAGCUAAUUUUAAGACGCUGACGUCACGUCUGGUUGUCACGUGGGUCACUCGCAGUGUAAGACGCUCAAAGCUCAAGACGUUCGGUUUGACGUUUGAUCGGUCGGUCGGUCGUUCGAACAUAUGGAGUUCCACCGAGCUCUUUAAUAUGACGUUGUAACACGCACUUGUCUCACUGAACGUCACGUCUGCCGAACGUCACGUCUGCGCCUGCCACAUUACAGUUCUAUGAGGUGUGAUUUAUGCACUUUUUGCUACUCACUAAGCAGACUGAGAGGAGAACUGACGUGUAUACGCUCGCCAGCCGUCUGGCCAAAAUCCCAUAGUAUUCAGGCGUCAGACGUAAGAUAUGAGACGUUAGACGUCACGGUCACGUGUUGGAGCUGUGCUCAAACUGCGCGGCGGCGUGGCGGCGACGGAGCAAAGAAAGGAUUUUUUUUACUUUGCAUCUGGAUAACGUAUGUGUGGAUAAACGUCUGGAUAACGUACGUGUGGAUAAACGUCUGGAUAACGUACGCGUGGAUAAGCGUCUGGGUAACGUACGCUUGGAUAAGCAUCUGGAUAACGUACGUGUGGAUAAGCGUAUGUGUGAAUAAGCGUACGUGUGAAUAAAUACAUUGAUAAUCAUUUGGCUUUGUCCUAUUUUGCCCCAAGGAAGGCUUUACGGUGGUAAUGGUCAUGAUAACAGUACCUAAAGUACACAUCUGUCUCCCCAGUGGCAUAGUCUGGGUGUGUUUUAAUAUGAGAAUUCUUGGCCCGAGUCGGACUGGAUACCGUGACUUUUUUCUCUCUCUCUUCCCUUAUUACACAGCUAUUAAAAUAGUUAAAAUAGUUUUGUUUUUUAAUAGAAAAGUUGUCAAAUUUCUUUUUGUUUCUUUAUUAAGUUAAUUUAGAAAUAUGUUUGGAACAUUUUGUGUUUGGUAAAUUCAAGUUUUUGUUUUUUAAAGGAACGAGCAAGCUGCAGCGGCGGAUAGUGAGUUGAGCAUUAUGUUUGAUCAAUUUAGCCUUCUCAAACCAACACGACUUAAUACACUUCAUGCAUUCCACAGCAUUAAUUUAAACAUUUAACCUAGAUAAAUGAUCGCUGUUAGGCGCAUAUCCAAUCGUUUGUGCGGAGAGUGAGCGCUUUGCAGGACAUGGGUCAGCUUUUUUUUAAAUUUUUUUUUUUAAUGACAGUAAAAACUUAAAAAUACGCCGUCAUUUUUGCUCAUAAAGGUAAGAGUGUGCAUCAUUCGGAACGGCAAAGGGUCUACUUUUAUUUGUGUGCACUCACAAUAUGAACAAAACCUUAUGCUUUUGUAAAAUAAGGAAAACAAACAGGAUGUGCUUAUUGUAUUGGUCUUGAGCAGGAGCGCUUCACCAUCAUGAUAAAUAUAUCUAUAGAAUGCUUUUCUAUAGAAUAUCUAUAGAAUGCUUUUUGCAUUUUAAAUUACUAUUUUAAAACGAAAUAAUUCAAAUCGAAAACAAAAACUCUUUCAUUAUGUAAUCUAAAGAUGCAUUUCUCUCUCAAUGCACGUCCAGUGAGGAGAUGGCAAGUCAGUUCGUCAAAUUAAUUUUUGCAACAACAUUGACUCAGAAGAAAUUAGUUUAUUAAGACAUAAUUCAAAUAUCUCACCACUAUUUUUACUUUUUUUGUUUGUUUGUUUUUUUAUUGAUUUAUUUGUUGUUUGUUUGUUUUUGGGCCGCUGUGCAAAAAUUGUGUUUGCAUUCAGUAGCCUAUAAGGCAGCAUUUUGUGCCACGUUGAAAAAUAACAGAAUAAAUAAGAUUAACGUCAUAAUAUUUUAAGAAUAAAAUGUCAAAAUUACGAUAAUAAAAUUAUGUUAUAUUGUGAAGUGAAAAAAAGUCUGUGGCAUCCAUCAUUCUUUUAACUUUUCUUAACUAACUCUGAUUGAUCGAUUCAUGAGACAUUCGUUUGUAUUAAAUUGUUCUGAUUUUUUUUUCAACAUGCAUUCAAAUAUUCAUGUUUAUUUCGUGCUGCAAAUAUUAAAGAGGAAAAUAUCAUUGAUUCAUAUGCAGCUACUGAACAAAUUAUCUCAAUCUACAAGUUUUUUGCACAUGUGCCUGGAGCUGACUCGCUACGCCACAGUUUCCCUACGACUGUGAUCAUAAGGCUUCAGUAGAUAUCAACACAUGAAAAGUAGGCUACUAUAUAGACAUAACACUUGAAAAUGAAAAUGUGUCAAACUGGGUAGACCAGUUUCAAAACAUUUUCAAAUAGGCCUAUAUGUAUAAACGUAUUAAUUAUUUAUCAAUAUAUAGCCUCUUAAUUUGAACAUGUAGAGUAGCUUACAAGAAACUGCUCUGGUAAUAAGCAGCUGUAUGGCAUGAAAAAAACAAAACCUGAACUCUGAAAUAAUAGACAUCUGCUGAUCAUACAGUUAUCUAGUUUUCAGAAAUGAGGUCUACUCUAUAGUGAUUUUUUUCUUUAGAGACGUGUUGUAUUAACUAUUACCAGUAAAUUCAUAUGUGCUCAGAUUAAAAUUAGCCUAUAUUAUUAUUGUAUUAUUUCAUUUAAGCUGUAACUGUGAAUAUAUUUGGACACUCCAUGUUAGUCACUGAAUAGACUUACAUGAUUUUCAAUUGAUUUUUAGGUGAUAUUGUUUGAAAAGUGAUUUAUAAUGAGUGCAAAAAAAAAAAAAAAAAACAAUUAUUUAUACAGUUUAUUUUAUUAUCAAAGCCUAGACCCUAUGUGAUAACAUAACCUGAGGCUAAAAGCUGUGAUAUUAAUGCUGUCCACUAGAGAGAGCCACAUUAUAAGGAAUAGGCCUAUUUAAAGCUUAUUUUUAAAAAUCAAUUUCCACACUUUUGAAAAGAAACGAAUGCAUAUAACAAUUUAAUUUAACUAUGAUGUACUGACAGUAUAGUUUUAUAUAAUCCGUGUGCAUUGCUUAUCCCAAAGAUUUUUCAAUUGUUUCAAUUUUACUAAAUGCUGUCUUAGUUUUUCUCGAUUCCUAACACACAAUUCAUGAAACAAUUUACCCCUUUCUCACAACUAUAAACACAUUCUCAUAACAAACAAACUUGUGCUAACUUUCAUGUAAAAAUCAAAUUCUCCAGUCAAAAACCAUUACAUCUAUCAAUAUCAAACUUUGGCCUCAGAUGACAAAACCUACAGUACAAAUACACACACUAUAAAAUCCAAUAGUUUGCCUUACUUAAAUAUAAUAAGUUAUCUUUACUUAGUUGUUAUACUUACUAGGUUUUAUUAAGUUACUGCUCAUUUUAAAGCGAAUAAAACAACUUGCUGCAAUGAGUAAUUCUUAAAAUAUGCAAGUAGCUACAACAAAACCGAUGACAUUACUUCACCAGUGAGAGGCAGCAGUGCGCUAAUGUGUUGCUAAUGCGCAACAAAACAACAGAAGAAGAAAUAAGGACGGUUAGAGAGCAUGCGCAACAAGCGAUGUUUUGAAUUUCUGCGUCGAAUUUGCUGAAACUACGAAGAAGUAGAGAGACUGCUUGCAUUUUACCUCUGGACAAAGACUGAUUACUUCUACACAAUAUAAUAAGGUAAGUUUAAAAAAAAAAUAAUUGUGUGUGGAUGUAUCUUUCUGUGUGCUGUUAAUUUUAACUGACUAACAUUAGCUCCUUGUCAGCACCAGUGUUAGCUAACAGGCAGCAAAGAUCUUUGCUAUUAGAACAAAAACUGUAGAAAUACAGAACUUGUGGCACAUUUUGGUAAAUUUGAAACUUUUUAAAACUUUUUUUAUUUCUCAAAUUGAAAAAAUGUGUUGCUAGUUAAAAAUGAACGCAUGAAAAUUCGAGGUACGAUUCAAGAACAUGCCAAAAGUCUCCAAGAUGAGCUCACAGUAGUUUUUUAAGACAAUCUUUAUGUGCCACUGAUAGUAUUCAUUGUUAACAGUAAUCUUUUGCUAAAUUCCCUCUAUAAUUUUAUAACACUAUGAGGCUUUUGACACUUUUUAGGUUAAAGUCAUUUUUCAGUUUACAGUUUUGUCAACAUUUUAAUACAAUCAUAGUCAUUACGCGAUCACACAUUUAAGAUUUAAACUGAAUGAGCUCGUUGUCUUGCAGUAAUUAUUUCUUUGCUGUGUUGAAACACUAAGUACUGUAACAGAAGAAAUGUUGCUUUUGAAUUGGUUUUACGACUGAGGCCUCAAGUCGAUAUGUAUAAAAAUGUUCUUUCUAUUGUAAAACAUGCAAAUAUCAAGAAACUAGGGGUGCACGAUAUAUAUCGGCCGAUGAUUAAUGCGCAUCUCGUCAGUAAAGCCGGUUCUCUAAUCAGCGGUAAAUUCCAACAGGUGCGCGAUUUCACAUAGAGCAGCAUUUCUUUUAUUUAAAUGUAUAUUUAAGUUUACAUUUAUGUUCCAACAAACUUGAAAAAUUCUGCUUGAUAAAUGCUCUAAAACUUUUAUGUAAAUGAUUGACUUUUAUAUAUAUAUAUAUUACCUGUUUUAUAUAUUUAAUACUUGGUCCGUUUAUUGAUUUGUUUGGUUAACUUUAGAUAUUUCUUUUUUAUUUGUAAUACCGUGGAGUGCACAAAAUUAAGAUUCGAGAGAUGGUUCAAGUCAGUGCUCAAUAAAUGAUGUUAAGUUUAGAAAUGUUGUGCAUCCACUUAUUAUUAGUGUGACAUUUUAGCAUGCAAAUGAGGGGAAAAACUUCAAGAUAUCAGCCCUAAAAAUCGGCAGCACAUAUCGGCCAUCGGCUGACCCUGACCUCUAAACAUCGGCAUCGGCUAUAGAAAAACCCAUAUCGGUCGAUCUCUACUCUGAACAGCGGUCUUGUGAACAUGGGCCUCAGUACAAUAAAGAGGACACUUCACACCCUACAACCCGUAAAAAUAACCCAGAUUCGUCAGAACUACACACCCAUCUGAGGCCUACUGUACCUGUUUUACUUCAUGAUCACCCCAGAUACUUCUACAAUUGACCCGCUUUGUGUCUGAUAUUGAUGCAGUCUGGGCACUAGUAUCUGUUGGCUUGCUGACUAUCACUGAAGAUGAAGUACUUCUCCAAAUCUUCUCUGCCUUGACCCUGUGUCUUCUGCCAUCAUUGUUCAGUGUAGUACUGCAAAGAACCGUCUCCAGGGUCUACCUCGCACAUUUGCUUCCGGACCGCCAUGUGCUACGUUUGGAUUACUGGUACAUGAAGAUUACCCUGAUACUGUGAAGAACACUUACAAUAUGAUGCUUGACUUGGGACAGAAAAAAAAAAACACUGGCAACUUGUGUGGCCAACUCAUUGCCAUACUUAAUCUCAUCUUACUGCUACCUCCACUGUUUAGUAUAAACAAAAGCAGACAGUUUUUGCUUUGUUUCAAAAUGUUUGUAAUACAAGUUAAAACUGCAUUGAAAAAUAUAAAAAAUAUAUUAUCUUUAACUUUGAACUGUCACUACCUUUGAUUUAUGGGUAAUUAUGUGUGUGAAGAAUAGAACAUUGUUGUCAUGAAUUUUUAAUGGAUGUUUGAACCAUAUUAAGUUACUGGAGUAACGCUAACUUCUUCUUUUUUUUGUUUUUUUUAUUUAAGGCAAUUGGUUAAAACUAGAUUGCUGUUCAAGUAAAUACAACUUAGAAAUGUUACUUGAUUUAGCUAAACUUAAAUGAGUUGUUUGAAAUACGCACAUAGUAUAUUGCAAUUAAUAAUUUAGUUGUUGAAAAAAGUGAUUCUGAGUUACAAGAACUUGAGUGUAAGUUUACAACAAAUAAACCUUUGUUAGUACAAAUUACUAUUCUUAUUUCACUUUACUUGUUUUUUUUUCAAGGCAAUCGGUUUGCAUGCUUUUUUAAAAUAACUAAUUAGAAUCAGACAACUUCCCUGCCCAGUGAACACUAGUGAGAUCAACUCAGAACACUGUAGCUGUAAUAAAGUACUGUUAUUAUAGUUACUAUACUGUACUACACUGUGUGGUUCUUUCAGCUCUCUCUUCAGUGCUAGGAUGCAUUUUUAAAGCAGUCACCUGUGCUCCUGUUUAUACUAUCCUGAGAUUCUGACUGGUGUCAUCAGUUUUGCUACUGAAUGCUUGCUAAUUGUGUGUUAUUUGAGUUCACACUGUGACACUAGAGUUAAUUAUUUGAUGUGUAUGUGUUUUAUGAGUGAGAACAUAAAAUAUCUGUAAAAUGAGGCCAACUUUGGAGAAAUCAUUAAAAAAAUUGGAAUGUGUGGAUAGAUGCAUUCCAGUAUAAUAUAUAGCCUAGAAUAUUAUAAUUUCUAAAAUACUAAAUUAUUAAAACAUUACAUGAUUGAAGUGUUUACUCAUGGUCCAUCGUUAAUUUAGAAUUUGGCCUUUGGAUUUAACUGUGUUAAUGCAUUAAGCCAUUUUUCGAUUAACGGUUUUCUGGGGGACAAAACACAUAAACUUAUAAAAAUGUUGUCUUUCCAUUUACUUUAUACUGCCAUUAUCUUGUGCCAUUAGUGAUAUAUGGUGCUUACAAGAAAGCUGUGAAUUGGUUGUUCCUGGUUGUUGUUUUACAAGUGCACUUCUAAACAACAUUGUAAGUUCAUUGAUUAGCUAUAUUGCAGUGUAAUUUUAAUUUUACUCGUCAUAUUUUCGUCAACGUUCUGAACGUUAUGAAAUAUUCGGGGAUUUGGAGGUGCUAAAAUGAUAUAACAUGCAGGUUUUUUUGUUUCUUUUUGCUCCAAACAAAACAAAACACUAAUCUACAGCACUUAAGACAUUUGACAAAAUCACACACACAACUGGCAAAAGGUAUUACAGACGACAAGGCGUAGACGUCACGUAGCUUCUCACGCGAGAAGUGGGGCGACGAAAGUGUCGCGCUUCUUAUCACACAUCCUUGGUCACGGCAAGGUAC
ensembl:lncRNA